rnacentral:lncRNA from 1 species
AAAAAGCUGAAUGAAAAAUGGAAAGGUUACUGCUGAAAUAUUUACAGAUGGAAGGAUAUGAUGUCUAGAAUUUGUUUCAAACAAGACGAGGUCUUACUACCAUAGCCCAGGCUGGGCUCAACUGAUCCUCCUGCCUCAGCCUCCCAAAGUGCUGGGAUUACAGGUGUGAGCCACCACGCCCGCCAUCAAGCAUUUACUUAUUGAAACACAUAUCUUUUUAUAAUGCAUUAUUUUCUUAUUUAUCCUUUAUACUUAUAGCAUUAUAUUGAUUUUUAAAGUGUGUGCACUCACCUAUGCAGCACUCAAAAGGUUCUCUAAAAUGAUGGUUGACAUCUUUCUUCAACUCUGGUGUUUUCCUAUGUAACUUUUUCUAAGUGUAAUAUGUACUCAACAACUAAAAUAGGAUGUAUGAUAUGUACAUGCCUGCAUGGGCAUACAAAGACACACAUACACAUAUAUAAAAUAAAGAAAACACUAAAAUAUCAGCAAGCUUGACUCCCAACUUAAAAUUAUGUGUGCAGGAAGGUAUAUCAUAAGAUAAGAUCUAUUGAUGUCAGGAUGGUAAAGACAGUGUUAUGAAACGUUUGUUACAAUAUCAGGGUUUGGAUGUUAGGAUUGAGAACCUCAGGGUUAGAUAAUUCCAGAAGCCACUCCUGGAGCUGUGGGUAGGGAUAAUCCCACCCAAACUGCCUGGCUGUUUUCUGGAUGGAAGGGGUGGGGUGGUGCUGGGGAGGAAACCACAAUGUUGGCAGCCAGGAGGAAACAAACUUCACUUUCCAAGUUUACUGUACUUCUAUAUUGUUUGUGU